AUCAGGACUCAUCAUCUGCAACUGAAAUGUUGCUUGCAACCUUCUCCAAUGCUUACAUUGCAUGUGUAUAGGACAUUCGAGCCGUGUGUUACGUAUGCUCCAUCAUCAAGAUCUCCUGGCAUGCAAAUCAGUGGAUGGUUAGACGGUGGAUAAAAUAUCUUGGGUUUGAGGAAGCCAUGAGGCUUAUGAAUUGGAAUAAUAGUGAUCCCAGUUUCAGCCUCAGGGCAAACAGUAUGAAAGGUUUUACAAGAGCUGACCUAGUUGAGCGGCUGACAAUACUGAAGUCUACCAUUGAGCUACGGGCUCGAAUCAUGGAAAAGACAUGAUUAUAAAGACAUUGUGAAUUUACUUUGAAUUUUGGAGGUGCAUUUAUGGUUCCUCAUGAACCAUCCUUGCUUAUGGAUGAUUUUGUCCACAUCAAAACCGGCAUGCAGACUUGCAUACAAGCAGGAUUAUUGAAAGACGGUCUAUGUUCAGUUCAGGAUGAGAGUGCAGGUUUGGUGGUGUCUGUUGUGGAUCCACAAUCCGGAAGACCAUUGUCGACUGUUGUGCUGCGCCGGGAGGAAAGACUCUAUUCAUGGCUUCAUGUUUGAGAGGCGAAGAUGAUCUUCAAUGAAAUUCGAUCCUCUAUAUUGGAUGGGUAUGGUGUAUGCAAUUGACGUAAACAAGGGCCGCUUAAGAAUUCUUGAAGAGACAGCCAAGUCACACAAUGUCAAUGAUGUCAUCGCUGUUGUGCAUGCUGACCUUCAUAUUUUUUCUGUAAGUUAUUUACCAACAAAAAAUUAAUGAAUAAAGUAAAGGAAAUUUUGAGUUCAUCAUGAUAAUCCACAUUUUCAAUUUUCUCCUAACUAUGCUUGCAAUGUUCUAAAUCAUCUAUUACAUAUUAAGAUGGGUACAUUGUUUGUAUUAUAAACUUAUAUGCGUUAUCCUUGGGGAAUGUACCAUUGAGAUGCGUCUAUUUUUUGCUUUCUACCUUUUUAUUGUUUGGUAUUUAUUGUUGUAGAUAUGUACAUAAGG